rnacentral:rRNA from 1 species
AGAGUUUGAUCCUGGCUCAGGAUGAACGCUGGCGGCGUGCCUAACACAUGCAAGUCGAGCGAGGACUUCGGUCCUAGCGGCGGACGGGUGAGUAACGCGUGGGUAAUCUGCCUCAUACACAUAACGCGUGGGUAAUCUGCCUCAUACACACGGAUAACGUACCGAAAGGUACGCUAAUACGAGAUAAUAUUAAGAAAUGGCAUCAUUUCUUAAUCAAAGAAUUUCGGUAUGAGAUGAGCCCGCGUCCCAUUAGCUAGUUGGUAAGGUAAAAGCUUACCAAGGCGACGAUGGGUAGCCGACCUGAGAGGGUGAUCGGCCACACUGGAACUGAGACACGGUCCAGACUCCUACGGGAGGCAGCAGUGGGGAAUAUUGCACAAUGGGCGAAAGCCUGAUGCAGCAACGCCGCGUGAGCGAUGAAGGUCUUCGGAUCGUAAAGCUCUGUCCUCAAGGAAGAAUUUUGACGGUACUUGAGGAGGAAGCCCCGGCUAACUACGUGCCAGCAGCCGCGGUAAUACGUAGGGGGCUAGCGUUAUCCGGAAUUAUUGGGCGUAACGGGAGUGUAGGUGGCUUGAUAAGUCACAUGUGAAAGCCCACGGCUUAACCGUGGAAGGCAUGUGAUACUGUUGAGCUUGAGUGUAGGAGAGGUGAGUGGAAUUCCUAGUGUAGCGGUAGAAUGCGUAGAGAUUAGGAGGAACACCAGAGGCGAAGGCGACUCACUGGACUAUAACUGACACUGAGACUCGAAAGCGUGGGGAGCAAACAGGAUUAGAUACCCUGGUAGUCCACGCCCUAAACGAUGGAUACUAGAUGUGGGGAGUAUCGACUCUUCCCGUGUCGUAGCUAACGCGUUAAGUAUCCCGCCUGGAGUACGGUCGCAAGAUUAAAACUCAAAGGAAUUGACGGGACCCCGCACAAGCAGCGGAGCAUGUCGUUUAAUUCGAAGCAACGCGAAGAACCUUACCAAGGCUUGACAUUAGAUGCAUAGUAUGUUAAUCGGAGCCUUCCCUUCGGGGAUUGAGGUGACAGAUGGUGCAUGGUUGUCGUCAGCUCGUGUCGUGAGAUGUUGGGUUAAGUCCCGCAACGAGCGCAACCCUUGUCGUUAGUUACCAGCACGUAAUGGUGGGAACUCUAGCGAGACUGCCGUUGAUAAAACGGAGGAAGGUGGGGAUGACGUCAAAUCAUCAUGCCUCUUAUGUUUAGGGCUACACACGUGCUACAAUGGCUGGUGCAGAGGGCUGCGAAACCGUGAGGUUAAGCCAAUCCCUUAAAGCCGUUCUCAGUUCGGAUUGUAGGCUGAAACUCGCCUACAUGAAGCUGGAGUUGCUAGUAAUCGCGGAUCAGAAUGCCGCGGUGAAUGCGUUCCCGGGUCUUGUACACACCGCCCGUCACACCACGGGAGUCGGGGGCACCCGAGGCCAGCUUUCUAACCUUUUGGAAGAAGCUGUCGAGGGUGAAAUCGAUGACUGGGGUGAAGUCGUAACAAGGUAACC